UGUACUCAUCGGUUAAAAAGCUUCUCUUAGUCCUAUUUUAAUGAUUCAUUCCUUGUUAUGAAUCUAAACGGCUUAAUGAAUGUAAUUUUUCUCAUGUAGACUCGGGGAAAGAGCAUUACUGCUGCAGCAGAUGGAAGCGCAUUAUGAACAGCAGAAGGCCAAGAAAAAAACAGCAGUGUCUGAUGUCUCAUGCAGCGAAGGAGAAGAAUGCUCAGAUACUUGAAGUUUCUCUAAUGUGUGCUCUGUGUUGUACAUACACUGAUUUACAGAAUGCUGAAAAAAUCUAGACAGCUGCUUCACCCAGAUAUUAUUAACCUUGAGACUCAUUAUUGGGCUUCAGUUGAACGGAAACUACCAGAAUGGGAGCAGUAUUUGCUUGGUAAAGGGCAACCGCCGACUGGUGGUUUUGGAAUCCAGGCAUGAAAGAAGCUCUAAAGUAUCUUGUAUCUAACUGGGUAUAUAUAACAAACAUAUAAAUACAUUUUUUUUUUUUUUUACACUUUUGAGUAAAUAUACUGUUUAAUCCUGAUAUUUUUUUUUCGUACUCGUUCUCUGUCUUGUCUAUCGUCCCUCCAUGGACGGAGAGAUUGCAGACCGUGACCUAGCCUAAUUGGAUGAUCAAACCAGUUCAGGGUGACACGGAGUGGCGGCUUGACAAACGCGAUCAUCUGGAUGGUCAUGGUUGAAGUGGUGGUGGUUGGCAGCUGCCCUUCCUCCUCAGCUGUGACUCCUGCCCCUGAGGUCAGGGCACCAGUCGAGGCUUCCAAAUUGGCAGGGGGGUAGGUUGGCUGUGGAGGGGUGGAGAAUUCUGGGUGUGGGUGGAGGGCAUGACAGCAAAUUAUCUAAAAGGCUUUUGAAGAGCACGAUCUGGAGCCCUUCCAAAUGACUAGAUCUGCAUUAUGUAUUCUAAUAGGGAAAGCCCUGAGGUGGUUUGGCUACGGAUACCACUGCCAACUGAGGCUGUCAGAGCACAGGCCAAGGCCAAAUGUUGUAGAUCAGCUCUGGGCUUCAGACACCUGGCCAUCAGCCAGACCUUCAGAACACUAUCGUAAGAUUAUAGAACAAAGUUGUUUGUAACUGAAUAACUUGUGUCUGUAAAAAUGGCAUAGUUGCUGUUACAAGAAAGCCUGAUUAUGUUGAGGAUUAUGGCACUUUGAUUGAUUAAUAGUAAAAUUACUAAAUAAAGAUAAUGACAUUUUUGAGUAUUUUCAUUAAUGUUUGAUCAUCAGACCUCAGGAACGGUACCAAUAUAAAAAAUUUCCCUUAGUGAAACAAGCUUGUCUUCCAUCAGAAACAUACCACCCAUUGCUCUCAAAGGAGCUUUUCACAACUAAAGAUCUUUGUAAAUGUAGUGCACUUAAACACAAAUAGCUUUUGCUUGGGAGCCUGUUGGGGAAUUCUCUCCAUUCUUGAAACUAUUAUUCCAGCAGUAGUGCUGGUCAUUAGGGGACUCCUGUUGUGUUUUUGUUCUGGAUAACUUAUAUGUCAUUCUGUUUUUUAUUGAUUUUGGGUUUCAAUAUUGUUAUUUUCCCCAUUUAUUUAAUUGGAACCCAUUAAUCCAAGUAGUCAAAACAUCCACUCCAUCCCAACAUUUGUGGCAGUAGUUUGAGUGUGCAAUACUUGUUUGUGUAAAUGUUUGUGUGUAGUCAUGUAUUUAUAUGUUUUACACUAUUAAAAAAAAGGUUCUAAAGAUUUUCUCAUCAAUGGGGGUUUCUUAGUGUGAAGAACUUUUGGAAUCUUUUUCCACUAAAAAGAACAAUGCAAAGUUUCCAUGGAUGUUCAAGCUUCUUGGUGGAACCAUAGAUUGGACUAUAUUUUGUUCAGAAACCCACCACAGACUGGGCAUAAAAUCACAGCCUAAGGGAUCACUGAGUGACACAUCGCUUUAUAUCAAAUCCCUUGCUUUCAAACUUGGUUUAUUGAAGAGAGUACCAGCUUAACAAGCAGGGUUUUUGGUCUGAGUUAAUUAAGACCCAUCCAUUGGGAAACGGAGUGGAGAUUGUCCUGAAAGGGCAUCCUGGGUCAAAAGAUUAGCACCGGACAUCCCAGAUUUACUGAUCCUGACAAACAAUGAGACUGAUUACAGGUCACUCCUCAAUAGAAGCAAUACAGCAAUUUAAACAGAUAACUAUUGCAGAUCUACUGAUAUGCCUUAGAUUUCAUUUAGCAGUUUUCUUUGGCAAAUAUCCCUUAUUUCCCAACACAAUGCGUCACUUGCAUUCAUAUUUAUAUAAUGGGGCGCUGAGAUUGUUGAAUGUGGAACAGAUUGUUUUGAGGUCAGACCUUCGUCUCUUUUAAGACAUUGUGGGUAAAGAGUUGGACGAGAGGACAGAAGGUCCCCUUCAGCUGCAUGGCCUGAAGCCCUCAAGACUGCUUCUGAAUGGAGGUCAUACCCGAGACUGACAUUGAUGUAAUUCCGGCGAGGCAGAGUCCCUGCACUCCACUACCAUGCGGCUGCCUCAACACCUUAGAGCAAUAAAGCUCCUUCUCUGAGCGUGCCCUUGACGUGCAGACCGAACGCAGCGAAAGGGGCACCGCUGCCUGCCACUCAAGGCCCAGCAUGGGUAAUGCCUGA